rnacentral:rRNA from 1 species
CGUAGGGUGCAAGCGUUAAUCGGAAUUACUGGGCGUAAAGCGUGCGCAGGCGGUUAUGCAAGACAGAGGUGAAAUCCCCGGGCUCAACCUGGGAACUGCCUUUGUGACUGCAUGGCUAGAGUACGGUAGAGGGGGAUGGAAUUCCGCGUGUAGCAGUGAAAUGCGUAGAUAUGCGGAGGAACACCGAUGGCGAAGGCAAUCCCCUGGACCUGUACUGACGCUCAUGCACGAAAGCGUGGGGAGCAAACAGGAUUAGAUACCCUGGUAGUCCACGCCCUAAACGAUGUCAACUGGUUGUUGGGAGGGUUUCUUCUCAGUAACGUAGCUAACGCGUGAAGUUGACCGCCUGGGGAGUACGGCCGCAAGGUUG